rnacentral:rRNA from 1 species
CUACGGGAUGCAGCAGCCGAGGAACUUUUACAAUGCUCGAAAGAGUGAUCGAGUAAGCCAGAGUGUUUCUCUUUGAGAAACUUUUGUUUGCUGUAAAAAUGCAGACGAAUAAGGACUGGGCAAGACCGGUGCCAGCCGCCGCGGUAAUACCGGCGGUCCGAGUCGCAUCCACAUUUAUUAGGUCUAAAACAUCCGUAGCUUGUUUUAUAAGUCUCUUGUGAAAUCCUAUAUCUCAAGUAUAGGGCGUGCAAGAGAUACUAUAUUACUAGAGACUGGAAGACGCAAAGAGUAUGAUUAAGGUAACGGUAAAAUGUGUUAAUCUUAAUUAGACUAACAAUGGCGAAGGCACUUUGCGAGUACAGAUCUGACAGUGAGGGAUGAAGGCUAGGGUCGCGAAAGGGAUUAGAUACCCCGGUAGUC